rnacentral:sRNA from 1 species
GGGUUACUCCUUUGCGCUUUCAGCGCUCAAUUUGAUAAAGAUUCGCACCUCUAUCAAACCGGGUAACCCCGCUUUUCGCAAGGCCCUACUGUCAGAUUAAAUCUGAACUACUACAGCUAAAGUUCUCUCGAGUACUCUUGAUCUUGACUUGGUCUACAUCCGCCUUGCCCAGCCCAACAGCUCUGGCUUCACGGAGGCUAUAUGCAG